rnacentral:rRNA from 1 species
AACGAACGCUGGCGGCAGGCCUAACACAUGCAAGUCGAACGAGAAGCUGGAGCUUGCUCCAGUGGAAAGUGGCAGACGGGUGAGUAACGCGUGGGAAAUUACCCAGUAGUACGGAAUAACAGUUGGAAACGACUGCUAAUACCGUAUACGCCCUUUGGGGAAAGAUUUAUCGCUAUUGGAGAUGCCCGCGUUGGAUUAGCUUGUUGGUGGGGUAAAAGCCUACCAAGGCGACGAUCCAUAGCUGGUCUGAGAGGAUGAUCAGCCACACUGGGACUUAGACACGGCCCAGACUCCUACGGGAGGCAGCAGUGGGAAUAUUGCACAAUGGGCGCAAGCCUGAUGCAGCCAUGCCGCGUGAGUGAAGAAGGCCCUAGGGUUGUAAAGCUCUUUCGGCGGGACGAUAAUGACGGUACCGCAGAAGAAG